GCGGUUAGUGAACGGUGCAGAAUUUCUCCUCCCUAAUUCUCAGAGCUCUCUCUCUUUUUCAGUUGCUAAUUCCUCUGCCAGGAACCUGAUCAUUCAUAAGUAAAGCCUCUGCUAAAUAUUAAAGGAUGUUCAAUGACUAUGCCGGUGGAAAAUACAUUUUCUGCUGGACAGAGGCGAGUUAGAUUUUUGACCAACACUGAGCAAAUGGUGCUCCUCGCUGAGUCUGACAGCAAUGCAAAGGGACAGAAAAGGAGGAGAGAGGGAACGCACGCUUUGUCUCUGUAACAAGGACUGAGGACAAUCGUCAAAGCUUAAUCCUCCAAACAACAAAGCAAGGGCACGAAGCCACCAAGAACAAAAUACAAGGCACACAACGAUACGUCUCUUUAGCGACGGGGGUUGCCCCUGUAAAUAAUCCGGCCGGGUUCAAGCAGUAGCAAAAGAGGUUCAACUGUCUCUUAAUCAUAGACGUUAGAGGUGGGAAAGCCACAUUUACCAGUCCCCACACCAGGGCGGGUUUUGUUCCACGCCUACAUUUAGCAGCAAGUGGAAACACAGUCAUUUGAUCGUUUGUUUUAGUGCCUUUAUGUUGGCAAUGAAAAUUCAGUCCCUUUUGGAAACCAAUGCACCGGGGAUGGAAACGGUCCGAGGCCCCAGCAACCCUCCCGCGGCUGCCCGACAAAGGCUGAACUAAUCAUUAACUGCAGAGGCAAAGCGAGGUCUGUUCCCUCCGCCCGAGCCCAGGCAGCAGCCGCCAAGGGAGAGGAAAGAUCUUUCUCAAACUCUCUUGUGUGUCACACAUUGGAAUAUAAGAACGGCCAUACAGGGUCAGACCAAGGGUCCCUCUAGCCCAGUAUCCUGUCUUCCGACAGUGGACAAUGCCAGGUGCCCCGGAGGGAAUGAACAGAACACGUAAUCGUCAAGUGAUCCAUCCCCUAUCACCCAUUCCCAGCUUUGGUGUCUCAAUUUCUUCUCUGUCCCAUUGGUUCCCAUCUGGGGUUGAAUGGUGCUUCAGGACUUCCAGUUUUCAUGUCUAGUUUGUAUUCAUGGAUUCUGCACUUGGUAAGAGUCCAGUUUAGCUUUGUGUUUCACUGUAGUGAGGGUAGUCUGCUGUGAUAGCUCUGCACAAGGGUUUGUAGCAGUCUAAAGGGUUGAUUUCUUCCCAGUGUUUCAUAUAUUGUUAUUAUGUAGGGUCUAGCAUCUUGAGCAUUUUCAGAUUUUUCACUCCAUUGGUUGGGAGGUUAGGGCUGUUGAGAGCAGGAAAUACAAGAGUGGAUUACGCCUCUGUAGUUAUUUGGGUUGAGAACCUCUUCAUUUUUGAGUACUGGGGCCGGCUUUUAUGUACUAGGGUACUUAUUACUUGUUUCACAAUAUGCAUAUUCAUGUUGCUGAACUGUAGGUCCAUUAUGGCCCCUUUGCUAUGCUAAGGGUAAAUCUGCCCAAGGAGCCCCUCUUGUUCUACCAUUGAGAACAUUUUCCGUAUAUUAGCAGUUUCUUCCCAUUUGUGUUGAUGGUGAUGCUCAACAAUCCCUAUUUUAAUGGGGUGUUACGAUAAGGUACAUCAUCUCUAAAUCCGUUUAUCUCCCUUUGUAGAGAUGGAAUCCAGUUCCCUGCUUGUACAGUCACUUACGGCUUAUGUACUACAUCUGAGAGAGACAGCUAUCACCAGUGCAAGUGCUUUGAAGUGCUAAUUUCGUUUAUUUUCUAGUCUGCUGCUCUUUCACUCUUUUCUUGCCUACCCCUUUACUGCUGGUCACUGUUGCUAAACAUGACUUCCAACCACAGGACAGGUGAAAAGUUCCCCAUGAAAACCACUGUCAGCAUUGCUCUCUCCACUGAUCUCAAAGCGCUCAGCAUGCAGUGGGCAAUCUGCUGCUGUAAAUUAGUGUGAAGGUGGAAAAAACCCAGCAAAAGCCCACAUUAAUCACACUAUCCAGGCCAAUAAUCACAAAACAGGAGGGCCAGACUGUAGUUGACAAAACAAGAAACAAACAAACAUCAAACACUAAUUGUUUAUUUUAAGACCCUACUAACUACAAAUAAAAGUGUGAAUGCCCCAUGGCAGAAGUACAUAGGCAAUUUUACGUUUACUAAAACAAAACUUUGCUACAAGUCAUUUUAUACUAAUGUUUGUUUUUCUCAUAAUGGGUCAUCCAGUGAAAUUUACUACUACUCCUAAAAGUUUAGUAAUAUUUGUGUUAUGGUAGUCUCAAGAAGCUACAACUGAGACCAGAGAAGCAUUUUGCUUGGUACUAUAGAAACACAAAGUAAGGAAUAGCCCUGUUCCUAAGAGCUUAUACUCUGCACUGACAAGACCAACAUAGACUGGGAAGGAAAAUAUACUAUAUUACAGAUGGUAUUGGGAGAAAAACUGAUUUAGCUGAGGGAUUAGCCACAGGGCUAAUGGGACCCAUGUCCAGGGGCCCUAGCCAAUUGGGGUGUCCUGGAAAAAUGGGCGCCCCCACACACCGCCCCUUCUUCCCCGUCCACCCGGCGCUCCUGCCAAGGAGCAGGGUCAGGGCGCAGGGGCUUGCCCUGCUCCGCUCGCCUGGGGCUCUUGCAAGGGAGUAGGGGAAGCCCCUGCGCCCUGAUCCCGCUGCCUGGCAGGAGCGCCGGGCAGGCAGGUAUGGCAAGCCCCCCCUCUCCCCCAUUUCCCCUGCAGUAAUGCCGGGGGAGGGACCAGGGGGACUACAGGCGGAAGGGGUAGGGAGGGGCCCCCACUUGCUCUGGCCCAGGCCCCACAAAACCGUAAUCCACCUCUGGAGCCAGGAAACCAGAUCUCUCCAGUCCUAGUAUAAAAAUAGUGCUCCUUAGCUUCCAAAAGACCAUACAGAUAAUGUUAUACUGUUUUUUAAGUCAUCUUUUUUAGGUAUUGGCUGUUUUUCUUUAUAUUUUUGAACUGUCUCUGUGAGUGAAUGGUAACAUUAUAAAAACAUAAAUAAAACCAAACACAAAUUCCUAUAACUAUAAAUUAAAAUACUAGGAUAGAUUGUGUUCCAUGGCACUGCAAUUUUGGUCCCUACAAAUUAUUGUAAUGAACUGGCUAGUGUAUGUGUACACCUCUGCCCUCUACUGGAUAAAAUCAGAACUGUGUGUCAAAGUUCUCAUACUGCUUAUAUCGGGGGUAGCCGUGUUAGUCUGUAUCUACAAAAACAACAAGGAGUCUGGUGGCACCUUAAAGACUAACAGAUUUAUUUGGGCAUAAGCUUUCGUGAGUAAAAACCUCACUUCUUCGGAUGCAACUGCUUAUAUUUAACUCAAAUGGAAGGAGGCUGUAUUUUUGGAGUAGGAAGUAUGAAGACUGCAGUGCUGUCCCUUCUGUUGUCAUGUACUUCUGAAAAUAAUGCACUGAAUUUGUUACAAUAUUGCACAGUCCUUUGUUUAGCCUUCUUUUAAAUGUCUCCUAGGAUAGGGCUUCCAUCACUUCUCCUGGGGAAACUAUUCCACAAUUUUAUGGAUUUCACUGUUAGGACAGGUUCUUUCUCUAUUCCACCUACACCCUACUCAAUAUUUGCCUAAAUUUCUAUUUUCUUAAUUCUAUCCUUUGGUAAUACACCUUUCAGAUAUUAACAGACAUAUCUGUUGUAGAUCCUCCUUAGUUGUCACUUAGCCAAACUACACUUCUACCUCGAUAUAAUGCUGUUCUCAGGAGCCAAAAAAUCUUACCGCGUUAUAGGUGAAACCGUGUUAUAUUGAACUUGCUUUGAUCCACCGGAGUGCGCAGCCCUGCCCCCCCGGAGCACUGCUUUACCGCGUUAUAUCCGAAUUCGUGUUAUAUCGGGUAGCGUUAUAUUGAGGUAGAGAUGUAUAUACCGUAUAUCAGCUUGGAAGGUAUUAGAAUUUUUAUCGGUAAAUGUCGGUAAGCAUUGAUUUCACCAUACAUGCACAAACUGAUGACAAAAUAUUUCCAUUGAUAAUAAAUGAAAUUUACACAUAAGAAAAAUAAGAACACUGCUGCUUGAGAACUUAUUAGAGUUUGAUUUAAGGCUAUUUACUUUGUGUAUUUUGACAUGUGACAAUUUGUGUUUUAACAAUUUGAAUUUCAAUGUCUACUGUCAUUAAAUAAUUGU